rnacentral:rRNA from 1 species
UACGUAGGGGGCAAGCGUUGUCCGGAAUUAUUGGGCGUAAAGCGCGCGCAGGCGGUGAUUUAAGUCUGAUGUGAAAGCCCACGGCUCAACCGUGGAGGGUCAUUGGAAACUGGGUCACUUGAGUGCAGGAGAGGGGAGUGGAAUUCCACGUGUAGCGGUGAAAUGCGUAGAUAUGUGGAGGAACACCAGUGGCGAAGGCGACUCUCUGGCCUGUAACUGACGCUGAGGCGCGAAAGCUAGGGGAGCGAACGGG